UUGCCUUCAUGGACAGCCCUGAAACGGGGUCUAUCCGAUUACUCCUGCAGGCAUCUGCGGGGGUCGAAAGCUCCGGCGGUGAAGGAUGAGCCCGCGGCCUAUCAGCUUGUUGGUGAGGUAAUGGCUCACCAAGGCGACGACGGGUAGCCGGCCUGAGAGGGCGACCGGCCACACUGGGACUGAGACACGGCCCAGACUCCUACGGGAGGCAGCAGUGGGGAAUAUUGCACAAUGGGCGAAAGCCUGAUGCAGCGACGCCGCGUGAGGGAUGACGGCCUUCGGGUUGUAAACCUCUUUCAGCAGGGAAAAAGCGAAAGUGACGGUACCUUGCAAAAGAAGCCGCCCGGCUAACUACGUUGCCAGCAAGCCCGCCGGUUAAUUACGUCAGGGGCCGCCAAGCCCUUUGUKCCCGGAAAAUUUAUUUAGGGGCCGUUGAAAC
rnacentral:rRNA from 1 species